rnacentral:misc_RNA from 1 species
CAGAUGCAUUUGAUUAGGUUAUAACUGAAGUCAAUUCGGUAUUUGAAUACAAGUAGCACUGCCUCUGUCAAGUGUUUACAAAUGAGGAGGGUCUCCCUCCCCUUGCACAAAACAUUUAAAGUAUCCACAAAAGAAGACAUUAUUUUCACUUCUGAUCAGGAUGAAACAAGAAGGAUGGAAUAAGCCUACAAGGAGUUGGUUGAAACUAAAACCUCACAAGUAUCUUAUCCUUGUUUUUUACCAGUCAUACCCGCAACCACAUCGCUUAAAGGAGCUGCCGGAACUUGCUUGGAUGAUUCAAAAGAGUCCAGAAUAGGCCUUACAACCGCAGGAAGGAAGAGGCCGAAUCCAGCGAUGAGACAAGAGGCAGCCACGACUGGUUCUUGAACCACGAACAUUCUCAAUUUCCCCAUUACCGCCAUCUUUUUUUCUUCUUCUUCUUCCCGUAGAUUUCCUACCACCCAGAAAAGUCUCGAGAUGUUGGCUGCUGUGUAGCAACUACGAUCGG